rnacentral:lncRNA from 1 species
GCCAGCCUUACAGCUCUAUACUGUUAGAGAUCUGAAAUUCAGCCUGGUUUUCCACAACACAUACUUCCCCAGUGCCAAAAACCAGGCAGGCUCUAAGCUACACCAGUGCAAGCACCAUUCAACACAGUCUGGGCUAAACAAAGGUUAAGGUCUAGUUUGGGCAUAGUGGAUUUGCACAGCUGCUAUUGAGGCAUAAUUGGGUAAUGGAUCAUUACUAGAAUUGUUGAAGUAUAAAAAGAGAAUACAGCUGAAUAUUGUGUCUUACAGGUGUAGUCUGCAGGUAGCAGACUAGGUAUAGGUAUAGGUAUAGGUAGCAGCAACACGAACAUAUCUGUUUGUAAACCAAGAAACUAUGAUCUGAAUCCUUGGCAUGUGAAUAAUAUGUAGUAUGAAGAUGCUAUUUUUACAGAAAAAUGUUUUCAUUUGAACUGUACAAACUGUGUGUGUUCCAUUUUGGUUCUCUUGAUAAGCAUGCCCUUUAAUUUUUAGAAAUUAACGACAGACUAAUUCAUUUCAGGGUUGCUAUAUCUGAGGUAGGAAGAUACACUAUUUCACUAUUUUAAAAUUAAAAAGCAAAAUCUAACUGAAACGUGAAUUACAGAAGGUAGGAAAAGCAGCUCGCAAGAAUAAGCUAUUUGCCAGAAAGUAAAAAUUGAAAAAAAAAAGAAAUGGCAGAGCUAAAAGAAAUAAUCUCUUUUCUUUAAGAGACUAUCAUACGGUAGAUCACCACUAAACUAAAAUCUCAUUGCUAGCUUGAUUUUCAUGCUGGAUCAGGUAAAUGUUUAAGCAAGCGUCUAGCUUCACCCCUUUGGACUUCCCCCUUAUUUAAGUGAAAGAGUGCAUUUUAGUCUUCAGAGAAUUUUAGCCCUUUUAGAACUAAACUUCCCUUUCUGCCUUUCUCUUUUCUAGCUGUCUCCUUCAAGCUCCCAAACUUUCACCUUACAUUCAGAAAUGCAGGCUAGCACUGGAUAUAUUUAUCUGUUGGCUGCGUAAAGAGGAAGCAUUCUGUAGCUGCCUUCCCAUUAUUUCUCUUCAAUACAAACAAUAUUUAAGAUGUUACGUGUUUUGUAUUGAGCCAUUGCAAGGAUAA